rnacentral:rRNA from 1 species
CCUACGGGAGGCAGCAGUGGGGAAUAUUGGGCAAUGGGCGCACGCCUGACCCAGCGACGCCGCGUGAGGGAAGACGGUCUUCGGAUUGUACACCUCUUUCAGCAGGGAAGACAAAAGGACGGUACCUGCAGAAGAAGCUACGGCUAACUACGUGCCAGCAGCCGCGGUAAUGCGGAGGUGGCAAGCGUUGUCCGGAAUGACUGGGCGUAAAGGGUGUGUAGGCGGGUUUGCAAGUCAAUUGUGAAAAGUAUGGGCGCAACCCAUGACCUGCGUCUGAAACUACAGAUCUUGAGAGUGGGAGAGGUAAACGGAAGUCCCGGGGUAGCGGUGAAAUGCGUAGAUAUCGGGAGGAACACCAGUGGCGAAGGCGGUUUACUGGACCACAACUGACGCUGAGACGCGAAAGCGUGGGGAGCAAACAGGAUUAGAUACCCCUGUAGUC